UGGGGAAUUUUGGACAAUGGGGGCAACCCUGAUCCAGCCAUGCCGCGUGCGGGAAGAAGGCCUUCGGGUUGUAAACCGCUUUUGGUCGGGAAGAAAGGGUUCUGGCUAAUAUCCAGGACUGUUGACGGUACCGGCAGAAUAAGCACUGGCUAACUACGUGCCAGCAGCCGCGGUAAUACGUAGGGUGCGAGCGUUAAUCGGAAUUACUGGGCGUAAAGCGUGCGCAGGCGGUUGGUUAAGUCUGAUGUGAAAGCCCCGGGCUCAACCUGGGAAUGGCAUUGGAAACUGGCUAGCUGGAGUGUGGCAGAGGGGGGUGGAAUUCCGCGUGUAGCAGUGAAAUGCGUAGAGAUGCGGAGGAACACCGAUGGCGAAGGCAGCCCCCUGGGCCAACACUGACGCUCAGGCACGAAAGCGUGGGGAGCAAACAG
rnacentral:rRNA from 1 species